rnacentral:rRNA from 1 species
AUACAGAGGUGGCAAGCGUUGUUCGGAUUUACUGGGCGUAAAGGGCGCGUAGGCGGUAUGUCAUGUCAGGGGUGAAAGGCCUGGGCUCAACCCAGGAACUGCCUUUGAAACUGGCAAACUAGAGUCCGAUAGAGGAUGGCGGAAUUCCCAGUGUAGAGGUGAAAUUCGUAGAUAUUGGGAAGAACACCAGUGGCGAAGGCGGCCAUCUGGAUCGGCACUGACGCUGAGGCGCGAAAGCGUGGGGAGCAAACAGGAUUAGAAACCCCGGUAGUCC